rnacentral:sRNA from 1 species
AGUUCGGCCACGUCCCUGGCCACGUCGCGGGCGAUCUCGCCAUCUUCGCCGCUUCCUCUCAGGGGCCGCCGCCUCCUGAGCCGCCCAGCCCCGGGGCCGCCGCGCUGCGCCGACCGCCACCGCCGCCGCCGCCAUGAACAUUUUCCGGCUGACUGGGGACCUGUCCCACCUGGCGGCCAUCGUCAUCCUGCUGCUGAAGAUCUGGAAGACGCGCUCCUGCGCCGGUGGAUUGGCAUUCUGACGUUGUAUCUCAUGCACAGAGGGAAGCUGGACUGUGCUGGUGGAGCCUUGCUCAGCAGUUACUUGAUCGUCCUCAUGAUUCUCCUGGCAGUUGUCAUAUGUACUGUGUCAGCCAUCAUGUGUGUCAGCAUGAGAG